CUGCUUUGUGAAUAUGUUUGUACAAGCUUUACAAAGCUGUAGCGUUAUUCCAGAGCAGUU
rnacentral:pre_miRNA from 1 species